rnacentral:misc_RNA from 1 species
GAUGAAGAACGCAGCGAAAUGCGAUACGUAAUGUGAAUUGCAGAAUUCAGUGAAUCAUCGAGUCUUUGAACGCACAUUGCGCCCCCUGGUAUUCCGGGGGGCAUGCCUGUCCGAGCGUCAUUGCUGCCCUCAAGCACGGCUUGUGUGUUGGGCCUCCGUCCUCCUCCCCGGGGGACGGGCCCGAAAGGCAGCGGCGGCACCGCGUCCGGUCCUCGAGCGUAUGGGGCUUCGUCACCCGCUCUUGUAGGCCCGGCCGGCGCUUGCCGACACAUCAAUCUUUUUUCCAGGUUGACCUCGGAUCAGGUAGGGAUACCCGCUGAACUUAAGCAUAUCAAUAAGCGGAGGA